AAUAGAAUGCCUGAUUAAAGGAUUAUCUUGAUAGGAUAAAUCAUGUAGCCCCCCUACUUCUAUUA
rnacentral:tRNA from 1 species